UACAGAGGGCUCAAGCGUUGUUCGGAUUCAUUGGGCGUAAAGGGUGCGUAGGCGGCUGGUUAAGUCAGGUGUGAAAUCCCGGAGCUCAACUCCGGAACUGCACUUGAUACUGCCUUGCUAGAGUACUGGAGAGGGAACUGGAAUUUACGGUGUAGCAGUGAAAUGCGUAGAUAUCGUAAGGAAGACCAGUGGCGAAGGCGAGUUCCUGGACAGUUACUGACGCUGAGGCACGAAGGCCAGGGGAGCAAACGGG
rnacentral:rRNA from 1 species